UACGUAGGGGGCUAGCGUUGUCCGGAAUCAUUGGGCGUAAAGCGCGUGUAGGCGGCCCGGUAAGUCCGCUGUGAAAGUCGGGGGCUCAACCCUCGGAUGCCGGUGGAUACUGUCGGGCUUGAGUACGGAAGAGGCGAGUGGAAUUCUUGGUGUAGCGGUGAAAUGCGCAGAUAUCAGGAGGAACACCAAUUGCGAAGGCAGCUCGCUGGGACGUUACUGACGCUGAGACGCGAAAGCGUGGGGAGCAAACAGG
rnacentral:rRNA from 1 species